CCGGAAUAGCUCAGUUGGUAGAGCAGAGGACUGAAAA
rnacentral:tRNA from 3 species